rnacentral:pre_miRNA from 1 species
UUAACCAAAUUUGUAUGAAGUUGGAACAGCGCUCCUAGAGGCAAACGUAGGCAAACGUUCCAACUCCAUAUAAAUUUGAGUUA